rnacentral:rRNA from 1 species
UACGUAGGGUGCGAGCGUUAAUCGGAAUUACUGGGCGUAAAGUGUGCGCAGGCGGCGCCGCAAGUCGAGUGUGAAAGCCCCGAGCUUAACUUGGGAACUGCGUCCGAUACUGGAUGGCUUGAAUCCGGGAGAGGGAUGCAGAAUUCCAGGUGUAGCGGUGAAAUGCGUAGAUAUCUGGAGGAAUACCGGUGGCGAAGGCGGCAUCCUGGACCGGCAUUGACGCUGAGGAGCGAAAGCCAGGGGAGCAAACGGG